GGUGACUAGUGACAGCGUUAGGGAGGGAAGGGGUGACUAGUGACAGAGUGAGGAAGGGGGUGACUAGUUACAGAGGGAGGGGUGACUAGGGACAGAGUGAGGGAGGUGGUGACUAGUGACAGUCACCACCUCCCUCACUCUGUCACUAGUCACCACCUCCCUCACUGUGUCACCCCCUCCCUCUGUCACUAGUCAACCCUUCCCUCACUCUGUCACCCCCUCACUCUGUCACUAGUCACCCCCCUCACUCUGUCACUAGUCACCCCCUCACUCUAGUGACAGAGAG